GCGUGUGUGAAUGAUGACAGCCUAGCUGCUGAGACCCAGUGAUGGCUCAGCCUCAAAGUAAACGCUCUGAUGCACCCUGC